CAAAAGGCUCUUCCGUUGGAGCCACACCCAUAUCUUUUAAAAACUUAU
rfam:Myroides odoratus DSM 2801 chromosome, whole genome shotgun sequence.